UACGUAGGGGGCGAGCGUUGUCCGAAGUUACUGGGCGUAAAGCGCACGUAGGCGGCUUUGUAAGUUAGGGGUGAAAGCCUGGAGCUCAACUUCAGAAUUGCCCUUAAGACUGCAUCGCUUGAAUCCAGGAGAGGUGAGUGGAAUUCCGAGUGUAGAGGUGAAAUUCGUAGAUAUUCGGAAGAACACCAGUGGCGAAGACGGCUCACUGGACUGGUAUUGACGCUGAGGUGCGAAAGCGUGGGGAGCAAACAGG
rnacentral:rRNA from 1 species